UCUCUCUCCGCCCGGCGAACCUUCCUACUGCAAAUCCACCGUCAGGUACCCUCCAUAUUGUUAAUGAUGAUGAUGAUUCUUCGUUUUCUUCUAGAUUGUUCGAAUUUGUUAAAUAAUCUGUUGAAAAAGGUGUUGAAUCUGUUGAGAGUUCGUAACGAUGUGCUUACACGGCAUCUCACGAGCGUCAUCUCCGAUUUCGAACGCUUCUAUGCAAACGGCACACUGCAAUUCAGUGCUGACGUGUACAUCCGAGAUCUGAAUCACCGGCAUCGAUUCAACCGCUGCUUUCGACGCCGGUGAAUGUUCCGUUUGACCUAAUCCGUUGUUUAUCUCGAUCUGCGAUAACUGAUCGAGCAACCGGUUGAACUGUGGACCGAUCAGAAACUCUGUCAUCGCCGGCGUCAACGGUUGCAGUCCGGAGCCAGUUCCGUCGUCGUAGUACACCGCAAAUCCUCCGUCUCCGCCGCCGUCGCCGUCGCCGCCGCCGCGAAGAACGAUGUACGGAUUAAACGGAGAUCUGUUUAACAGAGUUUAAGGAGCUUUUCGGGAGCUUUACGGGUCAUCGGGACGCUUUACGGACCACCGUGACGCGAAACGGGUUAACCGGGACCAAGAUACAUGAAAAACGAAGAUCUGGGAUUAGAGACACCGUCACCGACGCCGUGGAGGGCCGUCGGCGACGCCCCGUGGGUAAACCGUCGGCCAGAAACACCGUAAACAGUG
rnacentral:lncRNA from 1 species